rnacentral:rRNA from 1 species
UACGUAGGGUGCGAGCGUUGCCCGGAUUUAUUGGGCGUAAAGGGCGCGCAGGCGGCUACGCACGUCCGUUGUGAAAUCGCUCGGCUCAACUGGGCGGGGUCAGCGGAUACGGCGUAGCUGGAGCAAGCUAGGGGGCAAUGGAAUUCCCGGUGUAGUGGUGGAAUGCGUAGAGAUCGGGAGGAACACCAGCGGCGAAGGCGGCAAACUGGAUAGGCACUGACACUCAACAACGAAAGCGUGGGGAGCAAACAGG